UACGGAGGGUGCAAACGUUGCUCGGAAUCAUUGGGCGUAAAGCGCACGUAGGCGGUCGGCUAUGUCGGAUGUGAAAGCCUCGGGCUUAACCCGAGAAGGGCAUCCGAAACUGGCCGGCUUGAGUACGGAAGAGGGUCUCGGAAUUCCCGGUGUAGAGGUGAAAUUCGUAGAUAUCGGGAGGAACACCAGUGGCGAAGGCGGAGACCUGGGCCGAUACUGGCGCUGAGGUGCGAAAGCGUGGGGAGCAAACAGG
rnacentral:rRNA from 1 species